rnacentral:rRNA from 1 species
GGCAGCGCGAGGUAGCAAUACUUUGGCGGCGACCGGCGGAAGGGUGCGUAACGCGUGAGCAACAUGCCCGUAUGAGGGGGAUAAGCGAUGGAAACGUCGUCUAAUACCCCGUAACACAGGAGAUCGCAUGAUCACCUGUUGAAAGAUUUAUCGCAUACGGAUUGGCUCGCGUGACAUUAGCUAGUCGGCGGGGUAACGGCCCACCGAGGCGACGAUGUCUAGGGGUUCUGAGAGGAAGGUCCCCCACACUGGAACUGAGACACGGUCCAGACUCCUACGGGAGGCAGCAGUGAGGAAUAUUGGCCAAUGGGCGGAAGCCUGAACCAGCCAUGCCGCGUGAAGGAAUAAGGCCCUAUGGGUCGUAAACUUCUUCUGACGGGGAGCAAUAAGGGCGUCGUGCACGUCCGAUGAGAGUACUCGUCGAAUAAGCAUCGGCUAACUCCGUGCCAGCAGCCGCGGUAAUACGGAGGAUGCAAGCGUUAUCCGGAUUUAUUGGGUUUAAAGGGUGCGUAGGCGGACGUGUAAGUCAGGGGUGAAAUACCGGGGCUCAACCUCGGAACUGCCUUUGAUACUGCAUGUCUGGAGUUCGGAUGCCGUGGGAGGAAUGGGCAGUGUAGCGGUGAAAUGCAUAGAUAUUGCCCAGAACACCGAUUGCGAAGGCAUCUCACGAAUCCGACACUGACGCUGAGGCACGAAAGCGUGGGGAUCAAACAGGAUUAGAUACCCUGGUAGUCCA